UACGGAGGAUGCAAGCGUUAUCCGGAAUGAUUGGGCGUAAAGCGUCCGCAGGUGGCUGUGUAAGUCUGCUGUCAAAGAGCAAAGCUCAACUUUGUAAAGGCAGUGGAAACUACACGGCUAGAGUGCGUUCGGGGCAGAGGGAAUUCCUGGUGUAGCGGUGAAAUGCGUAGAGAUCGGAAAGAACACCAACGGCGAAAGCACUCGGCUGGGCCGACACUGACACUGAGAGACGAAAGCUAGGGGAGCGAAUGGG
rnacentral:rRNA from 1 species